rnacentral:rRNA from 1 species
UGGGGAAUCUUCCGCAAUGGACGAAAGUCUGACGGAGCAACGCCGCGUGAGUGAAGAAGGUUUUCGGAUCGUAAAACUCUGUCUUUUGGGGCGAACGUGAGUAUGGUGAACAAUCAUAGUCAGUGACGGUACCAAAGGAGGAAGCCACGGCUAACUACGUGCCAGCAGCCGCGGUAAUACGUAGGUGGCAAGCGUUGUCCGGAAUUAUUGGGCGUAAAGAGCGCGUAGGCGGGAUAGUCAGUCUGUUGUAAAGUGCGGGGCUCAACCCCGUGAUGGCAAUGGAAACAGCUAUUCUUGAGUGCAGGAGAGGAAAGUGGAAUUCCCAGUGUAGCGGUGAAAUGCGUAGAUAUUGGGAGGAACACCAGUGGCGAAGGCGACUUUCUGGACUGUGUCUGACGCUGAGGCGCGAAAGCCAGGGGAGCGAACGGGAUUAGAUACCCCGGUAGUCCUGGCCGUAAACGAUGGGUACUAGGUGUGGGAGGUAUCGACCCCUUCCGUGCCGGAGUUAACGCAAUAAGUACCCCGCCUGGGGAGUACGGUCGCAAGACUGAAACUUAAAUGAAUUGACGGGGGUCAUAGCUGUUUCCUG